ensembl:lncRNA
CUCUCAGUUAGGAACUAAUCAGACGUGUCAGGUGCUAACAGCAAACGCCAUGAUGCACGUAGGGGGGUGUGUGCAGGGUGGGUAAUUGUGAUCCUUUCAUUACCUCCCCGUGUAUUUCCCCAUUAUUUUUUUUUAAGAAAAGAGUUCAGUUUUUGGUCAAUUUCUCCUAGGAGUCAUGCUUUUUAGAUCACGCUCUUUUCACCUUCUGAACACACUCCCUUUUUCCAGAAGUACAAUUUGCAGCCCUAGAAGUGAGCACAGCCCUGCCAGAGCCCCCAGGAGCAGGCAGGCUCCACCACCGCGUGCCCUCUGCGACACAUGGCAUCCCAACAUGAUGCUGUGCACUCACACCCAGCUGUGCCCACUUCCCAUUGCAUCUUGUGCUGCUGCAGCUGCAUUCUGUUGCUCAAGAAGAACAUGCCUGGUGCUCAUCAUUGCAUAGAUCCAGCAUCCUCUAUUGCAGCUCAUGUUAAAUCCCAGCCCUCUCCUCCAAUGCUCCUGGAGUCCUUUCAAGCUAUGUAUUAUCCACAAGCCCAAUACAGCCUUUUCUCUGUUCUACCAUCCAAACUGUUAAUUGAAGUAUUGAACAGAGCUAAGAAGUCAGGCAGGCAGGACUGUGGGAUGCCACAGGCCAUGUAGCUGUGGUCAAGAAAUGAUUAGGAAAAGGACGGAGAAUACCGCAGUGCCCCAUGACAUGGUGCAGCAGGAGGUGGCUCUGACAGCCACGGUUCCCAACAGCACGGAUCCCACAGCGGAGCUGCAGGGACCCAUGGGGAUCUGGCAGUGAACUGCAAAGGUGAGGCUGUAAAGGCGUCAGUCAGCACUGCUCCUUAUUAGAGGACAGCAGGCUGUGGUAAACACAACUCAGAGCAGAGAGGUCCCAAGAGCUGCAUUCCCCUCUCCUUCCACUAUCGCUACAAUGAGACCAGCUGACAAUAUUUUGCCUUCAAACUUUGCCUCAAACGAACUGAACAGACACCAGCUUCAGGAAUGUACACAGCCUGCUGCAAUGAACUCAUCAAACAGCCCGAGGCUGCAAUUUAACAGCAGUAACUGGGACAGGCAGAUCUCCAUUUGAGUUUCUCAUUACCACAGUUCCCACCAAUUAAACUACUCUCCUAAAGUAGGAGAGAGGAAGCGCAAGGUUUGCUUUCUUCAAUUAUCCAUUGGCCCAUGGCAAUGGUCUCAUCCCGCAGCCCUCCUUCUGUGUGUGGUCCCCCGAUCAAGUCACGUUAUUUAAAACAUAUGAAUGUAGCCUAUGUGUUUUGAAACACUGACUGAAGCCGAAACACACAUAAAAGCCCUCGGCCACAGGAAGGCCUUGAAAAGCCACUCCAAGGCAAAGUGCCAUGGAGCUGGAGCCAGCUGGGGCAGGGCAGCCACGGCCUGCCACGUGAAUGGGCACACAUCCAGCAUGGGUGUGGGGACACUUUGUGCUGCUCUGAGAUCUCUUUAGGGCUUGGAGCAACCUGGACCAGUGGGCUGCAGAAAGCCGUGCGGCAUGUGCUUCGUAGAGGUUUUCCAUGGGGCUGGGGUGAAGCGAGCCCUGGCUUCACACGGACCGCCCAGCAGGGCCUGAGAGGACCUACCAGCACUGCACUUUGUCCCUGCAAUUCCAGCAGCACUUGGGCCUGUACCAGCAGAGACCCGAGUGCUCUCCUGUGGGAAGAAUCAGAGAUGGACAGGGAGUUGUGUGAACCCUGAGCCUGCAGACAGGGCUGCAGGCAGCAUAACUCCAUCUGCAGGCAGGCAGGGAGCUCCAAAACGGGUCGUGUCCCAGCUAUGCGUGGUGCCCAUGGAGGAGCUGUGCCCGGUGAUGGAAGGUCGGGUCACCCAGCAGAACUGGGAGCCGCUUCUCCCCGCAGCCACCAGAUGAUGCUUUGUUGUCUCAAUUAAAAAUUCCUCAGGAGACAAACUUUCCUCAUUAGCAAAAAACAUCUCACAAAUACAGGCAAGCCUUGACAGUGGCACAGCAGAUUAAUUGCGGAAUUUAACGACCUCCUCUGCUCACAGUACUGAGCCUGGGUUUGCUUUGUGAUAAUUUAUGCAGAGGGACUUCCAUUCCGCCGCGCUGCAGGCAGGGGAGCCGUCACAGCCAUUAAGAUGAUCUCAACAACAGAUGGACUGAGCGUUGCAUAAGCAUGCCUUGGGUUUUGAGAGACGGUACGUGGAUGCCCCUGUUUACUUAGAGACCCUGUUGCAGGGUGUCCUAUCUCAAGAAACAAAUGUGCUUAUGUGUGCCACUCCUUCCCCAAACCAGCUCAGCAGGCACUGCGAAAAAUCCGUUAGCUGGCUGUCAAAGCGGACUCUCAGCCAGCAAGCUGAGCUCCAGGCAGGAGCAGCAUGCGUGCUCCGAGCUCCAUGGCCUCUUUUCCCCACACAGGCGGCAGGGAGAACAAGCAGGGCUGAAGCCCAUGGGCCCAGGGCUGGUUUGCAGCUUACGGCACAGGCUGCCGAGGUGCACAUCAGUCAGACAGCUGAGGUUAAAAUGCUGUGAAGAAUCCGAAAUUAUAAACUGCCUCCUUCAUUCUUGCUUUCUUUCUUAUUCUUGUAUAUGUAUGUUUACAAAGUUAUCUCCAUGCAAACUUGACUGCUGUCUGGCAGGUGGGUGUUUGUAGGUUAAUGUUUGUAGGAUGCCAGGCAGGUUUGGCGCCACUGCAGAAGGAAUGGGAGCAGCAAAGAAUGACAGAGAAGGAUCAGUGCCCCUUGGCCAGUUUGCUUCUAGAGGUGAUUGGCAGCCACGGAGCAACCACUGACGUUCCAUGUGAGACGUGUGCUAACAGCCACUGGGAGAAGCUUGUGACUACAGCUCUUCAGCCACCCUUUCUUUUUGCAUUCUAACUGCUGAAAGGAACAAGUCUCUAAAAAUCUGUACAGCUCUCGAAUACCUUGGGAAUCCACUUUAAGUAACAUUUAGCAGUAUAUGAAUAUUCAUUUCAUUGGCGUUUCUCUUAACAGCCAUGCAAACAAUGCAGCGAUUUCCUGCCCACGUGCAGGUUCCAUACAGAGGGCUUCACUGUGGCCUGCAGUGCAUUGGUUUUCACUUUGGCCAAGGGGCAUCCCAGGAGCGCUGGCCGCUCAUCACUACUGCGGGGAGGUUUUCUCUUGGCCGAGUGACCAACUCAUAAGGAGUGAAAAACGGCAGCUGGUGUGGGGCUCUGCUGUGAUGCAGACGAUUUGGUAAUUGUGAUGUUUCUCAGAUCAAAGUACAAGUCAAGAUGGUCUGAAGCAAAACGCACACACUGACAAAGAUCAGCCAUCUCAGCUUAAAGGUUUUCCUGAAUGUGGAUUACUUCUGAUAAUGCAUCACGGACAGCAGAUCCUCCCGCCCUGCAGGUUUUCCACAAUGGCCUCGAAUAUUUGCAGGUCUCACUGCUCCUCAAAGUCAUCUUUAAACAAGGGCUGCUCCAAGGAGCCCCACCUGCGCCUCCCUCCUCACUCAGACCAGGCUCCACCUCAGGCAUCCCGCAGGAGGCGCAAGCUGUGCCGCUGUAUGCAGUUCUUUGAGACAGACCACAGUUCUUUGCCCAAAGAGCCUUAACUCAUUCAAAACCACACACUGGCUGGGGUUACGCAGCACAUCACUGUUACUGAAUGACAAACCACGCCGGCUCACACUAAGUUAAUUCUCCAGCUCUGAAGUCAACUUAAUACAAGAAGUUUCCCCGUGCAAGGGAGGCGCAGAUGUACCUUCACAAUUCAUCACUGGAAAUUCAAUGCCCUGAAUUUAUUUAUGUCCUUCUAAAUUAACUUACCAUUCCAAAAAGUUAAUUUUGGUUCCAACGGUAGAGCAGCCUUUGAGCACCUUACACGGCUUCCAAGGCAAUUUCCUCGGCUUGCCGCCCGCCAGGCUCACACCCGCAGCGGUGGCACAGCACUGACACCCCUCCGCCGGCGGUGCCCGCCCCGCUCUCAGUUCGCUGCUCCGCUGAUCUCUGCGUUUCGAGCCCACGUUCAGCUUGAGCCGGAGACGGCCAAACAGCCGAGCGCAGCGCCUCCCUCCCACGGACGAAGCACCGAAUCUCAGGAGAGACCAAAGCGGCCGCACACAGCACAGCCCCGCCCAGCACAGCCCAGUGCCGCACUGCCGCCGCAGCAGCCACCCCACGUAAACACAUCCGCGCCGCUUACGGCACAAAUCCCCUCAUUUUCAUUCCAGCUUUCAGCCCCGAAUCUCAAGCUAAAAAUAAACGGGGGUAACGACGACGCUCCCAGCCCCGCACUCGCGGCUCGCGCGGCAGCCGGGCGACGCCUCGCACCAAGCCAAG